GACGUAGGGCGCAAGCGUUGUCCGGAUUUAUUGGGCGUAAAGAGCUCGUAGGCGGCUUGUCGCGUCGGGAGUGAAAACCCAGGGCUUAACCCUGGGCUGGCUUCCGAUACGGGCAGACUAGAGGUAUGCAGGGGAGAAUGGAAUUCCUGGUGUAGCGGUGAAAUGCGCAGAUAUCAGGAGGAACACCAGUGGCGAAGGCGGUUCUCUGGGCAUUACCUGACGCUGAGGAGCGAAAGUGUGGGGAGCGAACAGG
rnacentral:rRNA from 1 species